AUUGAACGCUGGCGGCAGGCCUAACACAUGCAAGUCGAGCGGAUGAAGGGAGCUUGCUCCUGGAUUCAGCGGCCGACGGGUGGGUAAUGCCUAAGAACCUGCCUGGUUGUGGGGGAUAACGUGCGAAAACGGGCGCUCAUACCGCAUAAGUCCAGACGGCGAACGUGGGGAAGCUUCGGACCUCACGCUAUCAGAUGAGCCUAUGUCGGAUUAGCUAGUUGGUGGGGUAAAGGCCUACCAAGGCGACGAUCCGUAGCUGGUCUGAGAGGAUGAUCAGUCACACUGGAACUGAGACACGGUCCAGACUCCUACGGGAGGCAGCAGUGGGGAAUAUUGGACAAUGGGCGAAAGCCUGAUCCAGCCAUGCCGCGUGUGUGAAGAAGGUCUUCGGAUUGUAAAGCCCUUUAAUUUGGGAGGAAGGGCAGUAAGUUAAUACCUCGCUGUUUUGACGUUACCAACAGAAUAAGCACCGGCUAACUUCGUG
rnacentral:rRNA from 1 species